GGUUCGGUAGCUCAGCUGGUUAGAGCGCGCGACUCAUAAUCGCGAGGUCGGGAGUUCAAGUCUCCCCCGAACCACCA
rnacentral:tRNA from 22 species